AUACUAUUCUCUCCGUUCUAAAAUUCGUGUCUUAAGUUUGACUACAAAUAGAUGUACCUAAAUAUUAAAAUGUGAUUGAAUACAUUCAUAUCUAUACAAAUCUAAGACAAGAAUUUUGGGACGGAGAGAGUAUUAU
rfam:Hordeum vulgare subsp. vulgare, WGS project CAJW01000000 data, contig: morex_contig_2551913